AAAUUGAAGAGUUUGAUCAUGGCUCAGAUUGAACGCUGGCGGCAGGCCUAACACAUGCAAGUCGAACGGUAACAGGAAGCAGCUUGCUGCUUCGCUGACGAGUGGCGGACGGGUGAGUAAUGUCUGGGAAACUGCCUGAUGGAGGGGGAUAACUACUGGAAACGGUGGCUAAUACCGCAUAACGUCGCAAGACCAAAGAGGGGGACCUUCGGGCCUCUUGCCAUCAGAUGUGCCCAGAUGGGAUUAGCUAGUUGGUGAGGUAACGGCUCACCAAGGCGACGAUCCCUAGCUGGUCUGAGAGGAUGACCAGCCACACUGGAACUGAGACACGGUCCAGACUCCUACGGGAGGCAGCAGUGGGGAAUAUUGCACAAUGGGCGCAAGCCUGAUGCAGCCAUGCCGCGUGUAUGAAGAAGGCCUUCGGGUUGUAAAGUACUUUCAGCGGGGAGGAAGGUGUUGUGGUUAAUAACCGCAGCAAUUGACGUUACCCGCAGAAGAAGCACCGGCUAACUCCGUGCCAGCAGCCGCGGUAAUACGGAGGGUGCAAGCGUUAAUCGGAAUUACUG
rnacentral:rRNA from 1 species